AACCAGCGGARGGAUCAUUACCGAGUUUACAACUCCCAAANCCAAUGGUGAACGUUACCAAACUGUUUGCCUCGGNGGGAUCUCUGNCCCGGGUGCGUCGCAGCCCCGGACCAAGGCGCCCGCCGGAGGACCAACCUAAAACUCUUAUUGUAUACCCCCUCGCAGGGUUUUUUUAUAAUCUGAGCCUUCUCGGCGCCUCUCUGUAGGCGUUUCGAAAAUGAAUCAAAACUUUCAASAACGGAUCUACUUGGUUCUGGCAUCGAUGAAGAACGCAGCGAAAUGCGAUAAGUAAUGUGAAUUGCAGAAUUCAGUGAAUCAUCGAAUCUUUGAACGCACAUUGCGCCCGCACAGUAUUCUGGCGGGCAUGCCUGUCCGAGCGUCAUUUCAACCCUCGAACCCCUCCGGGGGGUCGGCGUUGGGGAUCGGCCCUCCCUUAGGCGGGUGCGCCGUCUCCGAAAUACAGUGGCGGUACUCGCCGCAGCCUCUCCUGCGMAGUAGUUUGCACACUCGCAUCGGGAGCGCGGCGCGUCCACAGCCGUUAAACACCCAACUUCUGAAAUGUUGACCUCGGAUCAGGUAG
rnacentral:rRNA from 1 species